ACAUCGAAAACCCAAGUUCUGGUCGCAGUGAGAAGCUCUGGAUACCUUGAGGAGGGUUCACCAGCUCUGCUUCAACAACGUUGACAUGGGUAAGGCAUUUUAUUCUAUUUUUGUACACCAAACACUGUAUAUAUCUUGAAGAACCUUUGCCUUCUGUUUGGAUCAUGGUUUCUUUAUGAACAUAUUCACUGAACAUGUUGCUACCCUAUUACAGAUCUUACCAACGUCAUCAACAGUCAAGGCAGACAUCUUUCUUCAAGAAAUCUGCCCAAAAGGAAAAACACUGAAAUUGGACCAGUCAAGCUGCAAGACUUUGUCGGCCAGUCAAAAGUGGACGCUGCAAUCCAAGGUGAAACUUUCUUUCUCAUGGUGGGGCACACGCAUGAAGAUUUGGAUCAACUGUUAAGUGUUUAGUGCAAGGGAACUUAGACAGAAGCCUGCAACAACCCGCGAUGCCCUCCUUCAAGAUUGGGGACAUCCGGACACCCACCACCAAGCUAUCAGACUUCAAGCCCUUCAUGCCUGCCCCAAGGGAAGCGACAACCUUCCCAACUAAAGUUCAAGAGGCAAUAGAGAAGAACAAUGAAAAACUGCAAAAACAAUCAAAGAUCACUCUGACAAAGCACCGAAGACAAGCGUCAGUAUCAGAACAAUAAAGAAG